UCCCCGGUAGCUCAAUUGGCAGCAGCACGCGGCUGUUAACCGCGGGGUUGAAGGUUCGAGUCCUUCCCGGGGAG
rnacentral:tRNA from 1 species